GGACAGCACAUGUUAGAGGUUUUGGAGAUAAAGUCAGAGAGGCCGGACUGAGAUGGUUUGGACAUGUUCAGAGGAGAGACAGUGAAUAUAUUGGUAGAAGGAUGCUAGUCUAGGUCUACCAGGAGAAAGGUCUAAAAUAAGACCACAGAGGUUUAUGGAUGUGUAGCAGGAUAGAUUGCUGCAGGUGUGGCUGGGAGGCUAAUUGCAGGAGGAGGCCUCUACAGGCACUAUAAAAAACAUUAAGGAGCCUACUGGCCAUUAUGGGCAUUUUGGGACAGCCCACUUCCUGUUGCACACUUCCUGUUACACUCACAGUUCUUCUGUCCUUCUCAGAUGAAGAACAGCCUGUUUUGUGCUGAGUCUUGUGCCCAGGUGAAGGCUUUCCCCCCACUUGAAGUGUCGUGUCCUGGUGAAGGGAUUCACAAGUGAGUGUGCAGUAUUGUAUGAGUGGAUCUGGACUAAUCAGAUCAGCUAACUGAUCUGAUUAGUUUUGUGUGAUUGUGUUUUUUUGAAUUUUUUCUUUUUGUAAAAUGCUUAUUUUUAGUUCUGAGCCAUGCCUCCUGCCUUUGUGUGCAAUUGAACGGUCCUCAUUUUAGCU